GUGCUUGCUUCAGUAGCACAUAUACUAAAAUUGGAAAAAUACAGAGAAGGUUAUUAGCAUGGCUCCUGUACAAGGAUGACUCCCAAACUCAUGAAAUUCCAAACUUUAAA
rnacentral:snRNA from 1 species